rnacentral:rRNA from 1 species
CGACCCAUUAAAUAUUGAUCUAUAGACUAUGAGUGCGUUGCCUAUUAUACAAAAUUAUUCUUGUGAUAAUUUUUCGUGUGAUAGACGCCUCCAAGUUCUUGAUCAAUUGUUUGAUGGUAUUAAUAUGAUAAUAUUGGGCCGCGUUAUUAACGCAUUAAUAUCAUCACGAGUUAUAAAUAGGUUUGAAUUUUUUAAAUUUAAACAUAUUGAAUAUAUAGACUUGUGCUAUAUCUUUAAUACUAUUUAGCUGUCAGUUGAUGAAUAUUUUAAUUGGCUCUUGGAUAUGUGCUYACGUGCAUAUCUAUAUUUGUCAGCGACGCUUUAGCUUUGGGUACUUUCAGGACCCGUCUUGAAACACGGACCAAGGAGUCUAGCAUGUACGCUAGUCAUUGGGAAUAAUAUAUAUUUUUUCAUCGGAAUGUAUAUGAAUUUUAUGAAACCCAAAGGCGUAAUGAAAGUAAAUGGUUUUUAUAAAUCAUAAGGGA